AAUUUUGGACAAUGGGGGAAACCCUGAUCCAGCCAUCCCGCGUGUAUGAUGAAGGCCUUCGGGUUGUAAAGUACUUUUGGCAGAGAAGAAAAGGUAUCUCCUAAUACGAGAUACUGCUGACGGUAUCUGCAGAAUAAGCACCGGCUAACUACGUGCCAGCAGCCGCGGUAAUACGGAGGGUGCAAGCGUUAAUCGGAAUUACUCGGCGUACAGCGAGUGUAGGCGGUGCGGAAAGAAAGAUGUGGAAUCCAAGGGCUGAACCUUGGAACUGCAUUUUUAACUGACGAGCUAGAGUAUGUCAGAGGGGGGGAGAAUUCCAAGUGUAGCAGUGAAAUGCGUAGAUAUGUGGAGGAAUACCGAUGGCGAAGGCAGCCCCCUGGGAUAAUACUGACGCUCAGACACGAAAGCGUGGGGAGCAAACAGG
rnacentral:rRNA from 1 species